CUGAUUUUUUUCUUGAGGAUUACCUACUUAAACACAUGGCGUCUAUUGCAAAACACAAGUUGCCUCCAGACAACGAUGCACCCAUUUAAAAGAUUGUUAAUUGUUUGUUGCUUCACCGCCAGGGACUUUGAUUGAAACGCCAGGCAUUUGUCGCAUGCUCAAAACAUGCUUGGCCAGAAAGAUGGAAGAGGACGAACAGCGGUUCGUCCGAAUUUCUCAAAAUUUCAUCAUAUCAACUAUCCAAAGACAAUUUGGCACGAUAAAAUCUACAGUGCAUAGAGAUUCCAGUGGAGCUUAGAAAUUGGUCCGAGAUUGAUGGAACUAUCAGCUUCCGAAGACAUUAUAUAUGGACACAACUUGGAAAACUUGAGAAGCUAAAUGUGGAAAUUUUCAUUUUAUGAAUGGUUUACCUGUUUCUGGGAACGCUGAACCAGUACUCUGGGCGCAUCUUCUUCUUCCCGUAGGACAUUAUGGGGGUGGACUUAGAGACGCGCUUGUUAAUAGGUUUGCCCAUGAGCAGGCGAAGGUACAUAGGCGGGUCUUCGCUGGGCCGCGCCGGCCGUGGUAUCAGCUCUGCAAAUUGACAUUAAUUUAAGUUUUCAUUUCAAGUGCUUGUUUAAAAGCCUAUCAUAGCGGGACAAGAGGCCCCAGGGCAACCCAUUUGUCGGACAAGAUUUGGAACUCACUUUCAAAAGAGACGAAGAGCUCAGGCAUGUCCUCGACGGACACCAUGCUGUGGUAGUUGAGUUUGGCACCCGAGUCGGCGGCGCUGGCCCGUUCAGCCUCCAGAUCUAGUUUCUGCGCCUUUCUGCUCGCGUCCAUGGAAGACCUCCUGCUGUAAGUUUCAGUUUUGAGUUCAUUUUAUAUUCACGUUGGAAGCGGACGGACCUUGAGAAAACUUUGGAGAAAACGGAGAGAUGCUCCUUGAGGUCGGCAGAGUUGGGCUGCGACUGUGACGAUUCGAGCGAGUCCUUGUCACAGCUACCAGGGCCCUCCACCCACGACAGCGGGUAGCUCAGUCGUUUGAACCCCUGCAAACAAAUUCAAGCAAACUUUGCUAACCAAUGUUUGCAGAACACGAAAAACAAUAUUUUGACCAAGACUUUUUCCAAAAUACAAUUCCAACAACAAGUUGUUUAGAUUUGUUUGAAAUUAGCCUGGUUUUCUGAUAUUUUAGUCAAGAUGGUUGUUGGAUAAGGAAAAAAAAAUAAACGUUUUAGACAACAUGAGAUGCGGUGAGGCAAUUUGUCUCCCCCUUAGCUCUCUAAGUUUUUGGUACCUUUGAGCGUUCAGGCCUCUCUGCGGCGUCCGAUGAAGGCGUGUCAGUGGAGAGGGACACGCUGGAUACCUUUUUGCGAUUAACAGUGGCAAUGGCUUUGCCCUCUGGAUUGGCGCUACCGCAGGUCACUUCCUCCUCUGCAAUUGGUUCUGUCGCGUGACAAGUUCCAGCGCUGUCCCGCAUGUCGAUUCCUAAAAAUAGAAAUGAUAAUUCAGUUAAAUAAAAUAUAAUUAUUAUUUGCAAUUAAAUAUGGGACAAUUAUUAUAAAAUAGAAAAAAUUAUAGAUAAUUAGUUUUAUUAUUGAUUCCCGCCUUCUCAGUUUCAAGUUAUUUUCCCAACUAGAGGUAAGUACAUUAAAAUAAUAAGUCAUUAAAAUGCAAAAGUAGCUAUACGGAAAAAUUUUAGACUGAGAAUAGAUUAUACAGUGCAAUUAAAACAUUUGAACAAAAAGACAAAUAAACUGAAAAUUUAAGUUUCCUUCUUAUAAUCAAAUUUUGAAGGAAACCUACAAGUUUUGAAUUUGGUGGGAAGGAUUUUGGGGUGACAAGAAGACAGGAAGGUACAAACCUGAGUCGUAAAAGGUGAGGGUCCUGUCAUCGGGUUUGGCGGAGGCAGGUGCAGCUGAGUCAGGGGGCACGGUAGGGGUGACCAGGUCGCGCUCAAAGGCCUUGGGAAAAGCGUCGCCGUCGCGGGCCUUGGCGUUGGGGGGCUCGCUCGAGCAGAGACUGGCGGGCGAGUUGGAGGGGGAGGUGGAGGUAGAGGCGCGCAGCUCAGGGAAGCACUCAUCCUUGGAGGGGGAGCCUUCCUUGUCACCCUCAACUUCACCCUCGGGUCUGUAGAUGAUGGGCUUGGCCGUGGGGGUUGGUGGGGCCGCCUCACCGGGGGCACGACGCACACGCAUGUGCGCAAUGUCGUGGUAGAUGGCCGCGUUAACCACAAACUCCAUGGGGGCGAUGACCCCGUAAGACUCGGGCCCGUGCUCGAUCACCAAAGGGUCUGACACGUUUGGGUCGAACAUGACUGCGUUUGACGUCACCAGCAGCACGCCACCUACU